rnacentral:lncRNA from 1 species
ACAGAAAAUUAUAUUUUUGUUAACAGAAAAUAUAACAGAAAAUUAUAUUUUUGUUAACAGAAAAUAUAACAGAAAAUUAUAUUUUUGUUAAAAAAAUAGAAAAUUAAACAAAAUUAUAAGUUAAGAUGCUCCUCCUUCUUCCUUUCUUCCUUUUUCAUUAUAUAUGCCCAAGCAUCUGGAACCUCAAUUGUGGUUCUCUCGUUUGGUAUAGAGCUUUCUACUUUAGCUUUUAGUAUUUGCAACCCUUUAGUUAGUAGCACUUGUGUCUACUUCAGCACCAGCUUCACUAUUUUCGUCUCGUCCCAUUUUAUAGUUAUUUUAUCUGCAUAGGCAGCUUCUGCUAGGGUGGUGUUUGUAUGUUCCAUUACCAUGUCCCUUUUAUGGUCUGCAAUUCUUUGCUGGAGUGUUCUAAUAGUAACCCUGAUGUAUGAUGAAGUUUGUCCCAUGCUUUCAAGUUCUAAAUAUUGCUAAGCUUAAUGCCACUUUUGAUUCACAUCAUCUCAAUCAUAGCAAUGUUAGUCAUUGUUUUAAUUUAUAUGGCUGGUUUGCACUUAAGUUUGUUUACAUUAAUCUAUCAAACAAUUUCUAUUUAUUUGUUCACAGAAUAAUACCAAUAAUUGAGUCUUUCAUCGUUACAGUUAUUAUUAAUUAACAUUACAAUUAUAAUGUUUACAAUUCCAUUGAAAAGAGAUAAUUUUUUAACUUUAUUAUGAGAUUCUAGUCAGUCAGUGACUUUAUUCAGAUUGGAU